rnacentral:rRNA from 1 species
CCCUUAGAUGUCCUGGGCCGCACGCGCGUUACACUGAUGCAUUCAACGAGCUUAUAACCUUGGCCGAGAGACCUGGGCAAUCUUGUUAACGUGCAUCGUGAUAGGGAUAGAUUAUUGAAAUUAUUAAUCUUGAACGAGGAAUUCCUAGUAAACGCAGAUCAUCAGACUGCAUCGAUUACGUCCCUGCCCUUUGUACACACCGCCCGUCGCUCCUACCGAUUGGAUGAUCCGGUGAGCUAUUCGGACCUUCGCUUCGUCGAUUUUCGGCUUUGUGAGGGAAAGUCUCGCGAACCUUAUCAUCUAGAGGAAGGAGAAGUCGUAACA